rnacentral:rRNA from 1 species
UAUGUGAUCGUCUCUCGCAUAUCAAUAAGCGGAGGAAAAGAAACUAACAAGGAUUCCCCUAGUAACGGCGAGUGAAGCGGGAAGAGCUCAAAUUUGAAAUCUUAAAGGGUUUCCCUUUACGAAUUGUAGUUUAAAGAAGUGUUUUCUGUUGAGGUUUUGGUAAAAGUUCUUUGGAAUAGGACAUCAUAGAGGGUGAGAAUCCCGUAUUUGACCUUUACUUUCAACUUUGUGAUACACUUUCAAAGAGUCGGAUUGUUUGGGAAUGCAGUCCAAAAUGGGUGGUAAAUUUCAUCUAAAGCUAAAUAUUGGCGAGAGACCGAUAGCGAACAAGUACCGUGAGGGAAAGAUGAAAAGAACUUUGAAAAGAGAGUUAAACAGUACGUGAAAUUGUCAAAAGGGAAGCGUUUGACACCAAGUGUUGUUUUUCUGAAAAUCAAUUAAAGAACUGUUUAUGCUAAGCUGUUUAGACUUUAUCAGCUAAUCUGUUUAGUUUUGAGCUUUUCUUUAAUGCACUUUUCAGUUAACAAGUCAACAUCAAUUUCUUUUGCUGUAAAAAGCUUGAGGAAGGUGGCUUGAGAUUCGUCUUAAGUGUUUAUAGCCUCUUGCCUAUGCAGUCGGAGAGAUUGAGGUCUGCAGCGUAGAUCCUUCGGGGCUAAAUGCAUUUGUGCUAAGUUAUAGCAUUUUAUAGACAACUUGUUGACUAUGAUUUGUCUUGUAGCUUACUCGCUUAUGUUAUUUUACCUACGCUUAGGAUGUUGAAGACUCUACAGAGAUA